rnacentral:lncRNA from 1 species
CAGAUAGUCACCUAUCCCCUCCUCACUCUCCUUGUCCCCUCAUCUCCAUGACCCACCUCUGACUUCUGUAGAGUCUCAGAGCUGCAACAUAGUGACAACCCUUCUCUACAGCAGGUGCUUGUUGCUGGUGCCAUUCUGCAAGGGCUGGAUGGGACAAGUCUGGGGCAUUCCCCCUGUCUUGGGGCAGCAUCUUCGCCUCAGCACUGACCUGACUCAAGCUUCCUUAUCUCCCAUCUAAAGCUAUCUGUGAACAAAAAUCUG